UGGUGUGAGAGGUUGAAGCUGCCAGCAUGAUCUGGUUGCUCAAACGCCGGCCUCUAAAGUGGCUGGAGAAGCUUCACCAGAUCAUGUUGUAGCUUCACUCCCUCGCAAC
rnacentral:pre_miRNA from 1 species